rnacentral:misc_RNA from 1 species
GUGAACGCCCUCACGGGCUUAUAACUAUUCCAAACCUCUGUGAACCGUGCCCUUCGGGGCUAUUUUACAAAACAUGGUGUAAUGAACGUCCAUAUAUCAUAACAAACA